CAGCCGCCGCGGGAAUACGUAGGUGGCAAGCGUUGUCCGGAAUUAUUGGGCGUAAAGGGCUCGCAGGCGGUUUCUUAAGUCUGAUGUGAAAGCCCCCGGCUCAACCGGGGAGGGUCAUUGGAAACUGGGAAACUUGAGUGCAGAAGAGGAGAGUGGAAUUCCACGUGUAGCGGUGAAAUGCGUAGAGACGUGGAGGAACACCAGUGGCGAAGGCGACUCUCUGGUCUGUAACUGACGCUGAGGAGCGAAAGCGUGGGGAGCGAACAGGAUUAGAUACCCCCGUAGUCCCUGUCUCUUAUAC
rnacentral:rRNA from 1 species